rnacentral:rRNA from 1 species
CCUAGGGUGGCUGCAGUGGGGAAUAUUGGACAAUGGGCGAAAGCCUGAUCCAGCCAUGCCGCGUGUGUGAAGAAGGCCUUCGGGUUGUAAAGCACUUUCAGUGGGGAAGAAAGCCUUGGGGCUAAUACCCUCGAGGAAGGACAUCACCCACAGAAGAAGCACCGGCUAACUCCGUGCCAGCAGCCGCGGUAAUACGGAGGGUGCGAGCGUUAAUCGGAAUUACUGGGCGUAAAGCGCGCGUAGGCGGUCUGAUAAGCCGGAUGUGAAAGCCCCGGGCUCAACCUGGGAACGGCAUCCGGAACUGUCAGGCUAGAGUGCAGGAGAGGAAGGUAGAAUUCCCGGUGUAGCGGUGAAAUGCGUAGAGAUCGGGAGGAAUACCAGUGGCGAAGGCGGUCUUCUGGACUGACACUGACGCUGAGGUGCGAAAGCGUGGGUAGCAAACAGGAUUAGAUACCCGUGUAGUC